UACAGAGGGUGCAAGCGUUAAUCGGAGUUACUGGGCGUAAAGGGCGCGUAGGCGGUCAUGCAAGUGAGAUGUGAAAUCCCCGGGCUUAACCUGGGAACUGCAUUUGUGACUGGCGGACUCGAGUAUGGCAGAGGGGGGGGUAGAAUUCCACGUGUAGCAGUGAAAUGCGUAGAGAUGUGGAGGAAUACCGAUGGCGAAGGCAGCCCCCUGGGCCAAUACUGACGCUCAUGCACGAAAGCGUGGGGAGCAAACG
rnacentral:rRNA from 1 species